ACACACACCACACCCUCACACACAACCACCCACGCCACACACACCGCACACCCUCACACAACCCCCCACGCCACACACACAACCACACACCCUCACACACAACCACCCACGCCACACACACACACCACACACCCUCACGCACCCUCACAUGCACACCCUCACACACCACACACCACACACACCCUCACACACACGCCCACCCUCACAUACGCACACUCACACACACCCUCACACACACCCUCACACACACGCCCACCCUCACAUACGCACACUCACACACACCCUCACACACACCCUCACACACAUGCACACCCUCACACAGGCACACUCACACACACGCCCACCCUCUCACACACACCCUCUCACACACCCUCACACACGCACACCCUCACACCCUCACACACACCCUCACACACAUGCACACCCUCACACAGGCACACUCACACACACGCCCACCCUCUCACACACACCCUCUCACACACCCUCACACACGCACACCCUCACACCCUCACAUUCACACAAGUACACUUGAGUUUUUAUUAAAUUUGUUUUUGUCCCCUUCAAUCCCAUCCUCCAACCCGUUGUUCCUCCCUAUCUCCUGGGCUCUAGGUAUUCUCCUUCGGGUCACAGUCCCUGUGAGGGCCGUUCCUGUUGACAGGCACUUGGCUCCGUCCUUCCCACUGCCCACAGGCUCCGCCAUCUGCACAUGCACCCCUCCCACACAAUCGGGGGCCUCUUUCUCCUCGUCCUUGGCUGCCUCCUCUUUGUCUUCCACCCCUUACAAAUCCUUCAGGGCCCUUUAAAUGCCUUUUCCACCUGCCUGCUCCCUCUAGCCCCGCUGCCCAGUGUUAAGUGGGUCGCACCAUUUCUCUCCUGGGUGAGAGGCACAGCUUCCACCAGCCUCCCUGCCUCCACUCUUCUCUGCAGAAGCCCAUGUGCUCCUGGGGCAGAGCCCAGGUCCUUCCAUCUCUGCAGCCACAGUGCUAGGCCAGCGGCACUUGCAGUUUGGUGAAUGGAAGGUUCUGAUCAUGGGGAACCGGUAGAUAGAGAGGGACAAACAGUGUCCCCCCAAUCUGCCUCCUGUCCUCUUCUGCCCAGACACUAGGCUGAAAGAUCAGGAGCCACACCUUGGCACUCACAGAGCCCUUUCUGCAAGUCUUAGAGGGACCAGUGGGAGGUGUGCACACGGGGGCUGCGCUGGCAGGAGUGGGGGCCUGGCACACCCCCAGGUAGAUGCCCUGCCCGUUAACGCCCAACGGCAGGGGCUUGAGUGACUCAUGUGGGCCUAGCGUGAAUCAGCACAGUCUGCCCUUCUUCCCAUGGGAGCUGCUGCCCAGCCCCAUCUUUCUUGGCCCCCGAGGGGUGGCUGCCCAGGGCCUCUCUCCUGGCACAGUUCCAUGUAGUGCCUGCCCAUGUGGCUCCCAGUUCCUCCCCGGGGUCCUGGCUGAGCAGAAUGGCACUGGAUCCUGAUCUGGCUUCUUGCAUCCCAGAGAAGACCACCAUGCGGGCCCUUCCUCCAGAUUCUUCCCUAGUUUAACAACAGGAAGCGAGGAGUCCAGGGGGGCAGAGAUUGCCACGGGCCUGGCCACAUUGCUAGGGGAGGUCCCAACCUGCUGCUGAGAUCCGGCACUGCACAGCCUCGUUCAGGCAGAGAAACUGAUAAGGAGAUGGUUGCCUGAUCACCCCAAAAGGUUGGCAUGGAUUCCUCGCCCUAGCCGGCUUUAGACGGAGGGAAUAAAGGCUUUUCCAAGGCCUUGCCAGUCCCCACCCCUGCCCAUCUUACCACCGUAGUCCCCCUCAAUCAUCAAGUCCCAUUGCACAGAAGGGGAAGCUGAGGUGCCAAGAGCUGGCGUGGCCUGUUCAAGGUCACACUACUGGGCAGGGGCCAAGCAGGGGCUGGAGCCUUGCUUUCCUAUUCCCCAGCCGGGGUCCCCAAAUUCUCUGCCAGUUGAGGGAAGCCAUCUCCUAUUCCACUGAUCUGGGUGGCAUUAGGAAGGCCUUUUCUAUGCUCCUAGAUUAGUGACAGCAUGCGGUUAUUGGGGACAGCAUGAGGACGUGCAUGCGCUGAGGAGAUGCAGCUGAAGCGUCAGGCCUGGGGUGCCAGCACUCUGCAGCCUGCCCCCAAGGGGCUCUGCAAAAACAUGGCAAAGAUGCGGGGUGUGAUGUGCACCUGUGUGUGCUGCGGGUGUGUGCGUGUGGGUGUGUGGUGUUGGCUGUGCGUGUGUAUGUGGUGUGGUACGGUGUGCAGGUGCGUGCAGGUUCGUGGUGUGUAUGGCUGUGUGGUGGGUGCAUGUGUGGGUGUGUGGCGUAUGGGAGUGUGUGAUGUGUGCAUGUGUGUGGUGUGUAAUAUAUGUGUGCAUGGCUUGGUGUGUGUGUGGUGUGGCGUACGGGUGUGUGGUGGGUGCAUGUGUGUGUGGCGUGUGGCUGUGUGCAUGUAUGUAUGUGCUGUGGUGUGUGCGCUGUCUCUGGAAAAUGCCCACCCUGUGUUCCCACCACCCUAACAGGGCCGGGAGGGGCUAGGGUGCUGCCAGGCUCUCUGGGCAGGAAGAGGAGGCCUUGGCCGCGGGCCGGACUUGGGCCUGGUCCGUGAGGCUGUUUUGGUCUCUGGCUUCACAGGGCAACAGAGAAGACAGACAAACAGGAAGAAAGCAGCUGCCUUGGGCUGGGCUGGGCUGGGCUGGCCUCGGCUGAGCCA
rnacentral:lncRNA from 1 species